GCAGUGGUGGAGUGGGCAGGCAGGCAAGCAGGAUAGCUAGCUGGGGGAUGGGCUGGAUGGUUGGUUGCCUAAAUGAAUGCAAGCCACCCAGUAAGAGUACAGAUAACCGCAUAAUUAACCAUGCAGCAGCAGCAACAGUAGCUGUUGCUGCUUGCAUGGUUAAAAAGAAAUUGCUUUAUGUGUGCAGCAAUACUACUGUCAACAACAAGUCUAUACACACAGCAGUAGCAGCAGUUAGAGUCUCUGCUGCAUCAUCACAGUUUCUGCCCUGCUCACGGAGGAAGCAUAUUAACCUGACUGAGCAACUUAACAAUGCUUAUUCACUUGCCUUCUGCCCAGCUGCAAACCUUUCAUUGCAAAGCAAGGCAAUAAAGUAGUCCUGAUCAACACACUAAAGAAAAAAAAAAUCUCGAAUAUUUACAUUAUCAAUCAUCUUUUUCAGUAAAUCUCAACUCUGUAUUCAUGUUCUGUUUCUAUUAGUUGAGCGGUAAGUAAACACUUAGCAACAAAUUAUUAACUUUCUUUCUUGAUGUUAUAGUUUCUUGUGUUUUUUUUAUUGAUUUUUUAAAAAAAGGAAUUGAUAAUGGGUCGUAUGUGUGUAUAAGCGCGUGCGUGUGUGUUUGUUUGUAUGUAUCUCUCUCUCUCUAUAUAUAUACACAUAUAUAUAUAUGUAUGUAUAUAAACUUUCUGACUGAUUUUGUCACUGAAUGUUACUCAGUAAACUCUCUUGUUAGUGUUGUUAUCUACUUUUUUUUUCCUUCCUCCUCUCACUACCUACUCUAUUCCUAGCAUAUCAAUAGAUUGUUUAAAUUUCGCUUGGUCUCUUAGUCCCCGAUACUUUUUUUGUCUGAAUUCUUUUUCGUUUGUUUCUGUUUUUUCUCUCUUUUUUUUUAAACAUGUCAUGUCUCAUACUGACAUUCCACUAAAACAGUUAUUUGUAGUCUACUUUAAAUAUAUAGUUCCACUCUGGAAACCAACCUUACAUACAAUAAAAGCUCGUUUUCUCAUAACUCGCAACUAGGUUGUUGUAAUGUGUAAAAGAUAAGUUUUUUUUUUUCAGCCUAUAUAUUUUACUUUAUGAGAAUAACAUCUACGUGUUUCCAAUGAACUGUUUAUAUAUAUAAAAAGGAAAAGAAUGAACGGAGUAGGGCCAGUGUUAGUGUUUAAGGUGUGGGUAUAGAUGAAGAAUUAGAGAUGAAGAAACUGUAACACACAUGCACACGUGUCUGCUCUACUUACUUCCUGUAAUUAUCUGAUGCUGUUACAUAACAAUUACUAAUUUGGGGGUCUCUCUCUUUCCUCCCCUCUCUUCUCUCUUUCGUACACCCAAUUACUUUCAUUCAACAUCAAAGGAAAAGAGAAUCCAAAUUAUUUUUGCUUCGUUUUAUUUUUGUUUCAUCUGUACUUUUCAUAAAUAUUUUGUUUACCUGUUUAGUGCUUAAUAAUUUUCUGGUAUAUUUGUGGUUAUAAUGUAAUUUAACCAGAACUAUUUUCUUUGAGUAAAAAAAUACUUUUAGAUCCACUCACUACAGUUACAUUAAUAAUAACAUUUUCAAAUAUUUAUUUAACUAGAUUUUAAAAAUUUAUUUAUAUCGUUUUAAUGAAAAGAACCUUCUCUAAUCUAAGUAUUUUAGGAGUGUUAUUUAAUUUACCUCUAAACAUGACAUGUGGGAGUGUAUGAACCAGAAAUGUUUUUGUUACAAUGCUAUUUGACCGGAUAUUUUCUAAACUUUGCAAAUUCAACUUUUUGCUUGCUAAUUAAUAUACUCACUGGUUAAAAAUAUGCUAAUCAUUUAUUAGUGCUAUAUUUUCAUGUGAAGUUUUAGUUGUUUUGGGGGAGGGGGAUAUGUCACUGUUUUUAUCUGCACACACCAAAAGCAAAAAAGCAAAAAAAAAAAAAAGAAUUAAAAAACAAACUUUCUCUGUUAAGAAAAUUCUGUGCUUUGUUUACUGGUGGUAGCAAAAAGUGUUCUCAGUUGUCCAGCAGUCAGCUGAUCAUUACUUUCUUAUUGCUGUUGGUGGUGGUUAUUAGCUGAUGCUACUUGUAUCUGAAUGCUUCCACAUUACAUGAAAAGAAUUUGGUGAUCAACAUUUUAACAAAUGUUCACACAAGUCUAAAUAAUAUGCUGAAAGUAAUUUGAUAUUUAGC
rnacentral:lncRNA from 1 species